UUCUUAUUAGUUUAAUGGUAAAACAAGAUACUUCUGAUAUCUAUAUUUAAGUUCGAAUCUUUAAUGAGAAU
rnacentral:tRNA from 1 species